GAAACUGCACAGCAGCUGGAUAAGCAUGUGCCGGGAGUGGUGAGGGAGGCGUGGGGGACUGCUGAGAAGGUCCCUGAGGUGGCCCGGUCUGUGGCUGGGGAGGUGAAGCGCGCUGGCGUGGUGGGGACUGCAACUGGUGCAGUGAAGGCGGCAUACGAGACCUUCUCGCCGGUGGCAAGGGACUUGUAUGUGCAGUAUGAACCGGUGGCGGAGGAGUACGCAGUGUCGGCGUGGAGGGCGCUGAAUCGGCUUCCUCUGUUCCCGCAGGUGGCGCAGAUUG
rnacentral:misc_RNA from 1 species